CUUUUUGCCAGUCUGAGCAUGGAAAAAAAUAUAAUGGUAGCUGACAUUUUCUCAGCUUUUAUCAUAUGCCAGGCAAUGCACUGAGAAGCUUUUGGGCUUGUUGAAAUCCCAAAAUAAGCCCACAAAGUGGAGAUUAUCAUUCUACCUAUUUUACAGGAUGUCUGUGGGCACUGAAGUUUUCUCUUCAGACUGGAUAUGAGCCAGCAUCCCAGCACUUUGUGAGUUGAGUGUCAGGACAAGGUGCGACUUGAUUCUCCCAGAAAUCUUUCUUGUUUUAGAGAUAGCCUCCUGGGCCAGGGACUCUUAAGGACCAAAGUUCAAUUCCCACCACUCCCCAUUACACUGGGAACUUCAGAAUGUGUGAGUUCCACGUUUCCCGGUGCUGACAGAUCAGAGGAGGACCAGACGCGACAACAUGGCUGCUGCUGGAGGGGCUGAGAGGUGACUGAUUAGCUUAAGCCUGCACAGCCCGUGGAGGAAGCACCUCGUUCCUGCCUUCUCAAGUGAUAAAGUCUAUGCUGGAAUACAGAGCUCCCUGCUCUGAGCACCUAAAGUCUUGAUUUUUCUGGGGGAAAACUCUCUGUAGCUCUUUCUUCUAGUAUUAUUUGUGUUAGUGAGUAACUCCUUAACCAGGUUGUGAGCUCCUGGAGAGUUGAGAGUGUGUUUUGGUCUUUGUAUCUAUGAAGUGCUGGGUUAUGCCUUUACUCCAGGGCCAUGAUUGAAAAAAAAUGUUAGAGGGAGAAAAUUGCAAGAUGAUCACCACAUUUUGUCCAAUUGAAAAGGAAUGUGCCAACCAGUUUAUACAGUUCCAUUUAUUUUUGGAAAAAAUAUAUCUCCAUAUUACCUGCUUCCUGCCUUCCUUUAACUUCUCUCUCUCUUUUAAUCAAAAUAAGGAAAAAAAAACCACAGAAUGCUAUCCACAAUAUGUUAACUGUUGGUUAUCUCCAGAUGUUGGGAUUAUGCCUCAAACAACAAUUC
rnacentral:lncRNA from 1 species